UAUUACCUUCCUCAUACCAAAGAUUUUUUUAAAUGAAUUAUUCCCAUUUAAUAUAAACAUAUAUAGGUAAUUCAAUAGUGUUAUCUCUCACGCUUCAGAUAAUUAUAAGAGCAUCAACAUAUGAAUAAAGUAACAUAUGCUGUUACUGAAACAGAAAGUAUUUAUGAACUCUAAGAGGAUACUGAGCGAUCGUCACACUCACGCCAACAUAAAACACAGGCCAACCUCGGAGAUCCGGAGUUCAGGGAUCGGAGGGGAGCCAGCUUCAGUCGACAUUUAAUUAACCUUUUUAUAACAAGCACCCACUGUAACCAAAACGUUAACACUUAUUAAGAUUGUCAAGUGUCACCGGAUUGGGAAUUACAGAGGCUGUAUUGAAAUCCAAGCGAGGGUGACUCCGACACCGCCCGCGAGGGAGUCAGAGAGGAGCAGUAAUUGAACCUCAGGCCGAUCUUCCAAAAACUGAUGGGAUAAUCCGAUGUGUGUGUCACCCGAUCUUUGACUCAACAAAGUCCAUCGUCGGCGCGACAAAGGAAGCAGUUAAACAAAUGAAAUAUGUAUCAAUUAGGAGGAAGCCGGUCCCGGGCGUGCAUAACCCAUGAGGCUAAUGAAGUGAACUGCGUGACCACAACAUUCAAACAUUUCUUUUCCCGAGCGGCCGGAGCUGCAGCUGGUGUGCUUCUCACCGCUCCCGCUACCCUGAUGCCUUGAAUCAUCCACUGUUCAAAACGAAACAUCGACUGUACCUCAUACAUUAAAUAAGUCUACUUC